rnacentral:rRNA from 1 species
UGUCCACGGCCUCCCAGCUCGAAAGUGCAUCUGUCAUUCAUGUAGCGUGAGAGGUGUCAGAGGUAAGACGAAAGUGAUAUUGGAGCUGUAAAAUGUCGUUGAUAUAGUCAGAAACAGCAGCGCCAAUAGCGACUUAGUGUUUCUGGUCUGUAACUGAGGCUGAGAAGCUAGAGGAGCGAACGCGAUCAGAUAUUAGAUGUAGUCCUAGUCGUAACCGAUAUGUACUAGUCUGUGGGGGCUUCCACUCUCUCUCGGACGUAGCGAAAGUGAUAACUACAGCCACUGGGGAGUAUGGUCGCAAGGGCAAAACUCAAAGGAAUUGGAGGGGGCUCACACAAGCGGUGGAGGAUGUGGCAUAAUUUUUAAUUUACGCGAAGAACCUUACCCAGGCUUGGUGUGUCUAGGAUUUCCUGUGAAAGCAGGAAGUGCCCUUUCGGGGAACCUUAGCGCAGGUGGGUGCAUGCAUGUCGUCAUCUCGUGUCGUGAGAUGUCGGGUUAAGUCCUUUAACGAGGAAAACCCUUGUCCUUAGUUGCCAGUGAGUAAUGUCGGGGACUCUAAGGAGACUGCCGGUGUUAAACCGGAGGAAGGUGGGGAUGACGUCAAGUCCUCAUGGCCCCUAUGCCUGGGGCUGCACACGUCUUACACUGCGGCGGACAAAAAGAUGCAAGAUCGUGAGAGGGAGCAAUCCUCUGAAAACGCCGCCCAGUUCGGAUUGCAGGCUGAAAUUCUCCUGCGCGAAGCCGGAAUCGCUAGUGAUCGCGGAUCAGCACGCCGCGGUGAAUGUGUUCCUGAGCCCUGUACACACCGCCCGUCAAGCCACGAAAGUUUGGGGGGCCCGAAGUCACGAUGCUAACUCUCAAGCGAGCCAGGCGUUGAAAUCAACCAGAUGAUUGGGGCUAAGUCGUAACAAGGUAGCCGUA